rnacentral:rRNA from 1 species
UGGGGAAUCUUGCACAAUGGGGGCAACCCUGAUGCAGCGACGCCGCGUGAGCGAUGAAGCCCUUCGGGGCGUAAAGCUCUUUCGACCGGAACGAUAAUGACGGUACCGGGAGAAGAAGCUGCGGCUAACUACGUGCCAGCAGCCGCGGUAAUACGUAGGCAGCAAGCGUUGUUCGGAGUUACUGGGCGUAAAGAGUGCGUAGGCGGUUUUCUAAGUUCGGUGUGAAAUCUCCCGGCUUAACUGGGAGGGUGCGCCGAAGACUGGGAAGCUGGAGUGUGGGAAAGGCAGGCGGAAUUCCUGGUGUAGCGGUGAAAUGCGUAGAUAUCAGGAGGAACACCGGCGGUGUAGACGGCUUGCUAGACCAUAACUGACGCUGAGGCACGAAAGCGUGGGCAGCAAACA